CCUACGGGAGGCAGCAGUGGGGAAUAUUGCACAAUGGGCGCAAGCCUGAUGCAGCCAUGCCGCGUGUAUGAAGAAGGCCUUCGGGUUGUAAAGUACUUUCAGCGGGGAGGAAGGUGUCGUGGUUAAUAACCACAACAAUUGACGUUACCCGCAGAAGAAGCACCGGCUAACUCCGUGCCAGCAGCCGCGGUAAUACGGAGGGUGCAAGCGUUAAUCGGAAUUACUGGGCGUAAAGCGCACGCAGGCGGUCUGUCAAGUCGGAUGUGGAAUCCCCGGGCUCAACCUGGGAACUGCAUUCGUAACUGGCAGGCUGGAGUCUCGUAGAGGGGGGUAGAAUUCCAGGUGUAGCGGUGAAAUGCGUAGAGAUCUGGAGGAAUACCGGUGGCGAAGGCGGCCCCCUGGACAAAGACUGACGCUCAGGUGCGAAAGCGUGGGGAGCAAACAGGAUUAGAUACCCCUGUAGUC
rnacentral:rRNA from 1 species